AAGGUCUUAGCUUAAUUAAAGUGUCUGGGUUGCAUUCAGAAUAUGUCGGAUAGAGUCCUGCAGGUCUUA
rnacentral:tRNA from 1 species